GUCUAUCAUUAUGCCAUCCUGAGCAAGCCUGAUCCCGUCUGAUCUCGGAAGCUAAGCAGGGUCCGGCCUGGUUAGUACUUGGAUGGGAGACCACCGAGGAAGACCAGGUGCUAUAGGCG
rnacentral:rRNA from 1 species